rnacentral:rRNA from 1 species
CCUGAACGCUGGCGGCGUGGCUAAGACAUGCAAGUCGUACGGGUGUAGCAAUACACCAGUGGCGGACGGGUGAGUAAUGUAUCGCUAACGUACCCCAGAGUCUGGGAUAGCUGCCCGAAAGGGCAGGUAAUACCAGGUGACAUAUUCCGGUCGCAUGACUGGAAUCUCAAAGGGAAACCGUUCUGGGAGCGGGCGAUAUCGUAUCAGCUAGUUGGUAGGGUAACGGCCUACCAAGGCGACGACGCGUAGCCGGACUGAGAGGUUGGUCGGCCACAUUGGGACUGAGACACUGCCCAGACUCCUACGGGGGGCUGCAGUAACGAAUCUUCCGCAAUGCACGCAAGUGUGACGGAGCGACGCCGCGUGUGGGAUGAAGUCCUUCGGGAUGUAAACCACUGUCAGGGGUUAGAAAGUUCUGAUCAACCCCAGAGGAAGGCACGGCUAACUCUGUGCCAGCAGCCGCGGUAAGACAGAGGUGCCAAGCGUUAGGCGGAAUCACUGGGCUUAAAGCGUGUGUAGGUGGACUGGUAAGUACCUUGUGAAAUCCCACGGCUUAACCGUGGAACUGCUCGGUAUACUGCUGGUCUUGAGCCUUCUAGGGGCGAGUGGAACAAAUGGUGGAGCGGGUGAAAUGCGUAGAUAUCAUUUGGAACGCCAAUGGUGAAAACAACUCGCUGGGGAAGUGCUGACACUGAGACACGAAAGCCAGGGGAGCAAACGGGAUUAGAUACCCCGGUAGUCCUGGCCGUAAACGAUGUCCACUAGAUCGCAGCCCUCUGACGGUGUUGCGGUCGAAGCAAAAGUGCUAAGUGGACCGCCUGGGAAGUACGGUCGCAAGGCUA